CGCCCGAAAACUGGGAAGACUUGGAGUGCAGGAGAAGGAAAAGAGGAAAUUUCUCAGUGUAGCGGUGAAAUGCGUAGAUAUUGAGAAGAACACCAGUAGCGAAGGCGGCUUUCUGGACUGUAACUGACACUGAGGCACGAAAGCGUGGGUAGCAAACAGGAUUAGAUACCCUGGUAGUCCACGCCGUAAACGAUGAGUAUUAGGUGUCGGGGGUUACCCCCCUCGGUGCCGCAGUUAACGCAUUAAAUACUCCGCCUGGGGAGUACGCACGCAAGUGUGAAACUCAAAGGAAUUGACGGGGACCCGCACAAGUAGCGGAGCAUGUGGUUUAAUUCGAAGCAACGCGAAGAACCUUACCUAAGCUUGACAUCUCUCAGAUCGGUAGUUAAUCCUACCUUCCCUUCGGGGCUGAGAUGACAGGUGGUGCAUGGUUGUCGUCAGCUCGUGUCGUGAGAUGUUGGGUUAAGUCCCGCAACGAGCGCAACCCUUGUCUUUAGUUGCCAGCAUUAAGUUGGGCACUCUAGAGAGACUGCCAGGGAUAACCUGGAGGAAGGUGGGGAUGACGUCAAAUCAUCAUGCCCCUUAUGCUUAGGGCUACACACGUGCUACAAUGGGUGGUACAGAGGGUUGCCAAACCGCAAGGUGGAGCUAAUCCCUUAAAGCCAUUCUCAGUUCGGAUUGUAGGCUGAAACUCGCCUACAUGAAGCUGGAGUUACUAGUAAUCGCAGAUCAGAAUGCUGCGGUAAAUGCGUUCCCGGGUCUUGCACUCACCGCCCGUCA
rnacentral:rRNA from 1 species